CGGAGCAAGGGAAGCAAGUAUUAUUGCUGAUGAUUGGUCGAAGUAGCCCGAGUCAGGAAAAUGGCUGCGAGUACCUCUGUAGUCCCGGUGGCGGUGACGGCGACGGCGACGGUGAUGCCCGGCCUAUCCACUAACGCAGAUUUCUCAGAUUUGCGGGAAAUUAAAAAGCAGCUGCUGCUCAUUGCGGGCCUUACUCGAGAGCGGGGCCUGCUGCACAGUAGCAAAUGGUGAGAUGUCGGGGUCGGAGGGGACCAAGCUUGGAUCCUUGGCCUUGGGGGCUUCUCAAGCUGAUCCAGUUUGUGUGCGUGUUCCAGGUCCGCGGAGUUGGCCUUCUCCCUCCCCGCGUUGCCUUUGGCCGAGCUGCAGCCGCCGCCGCCUAUUACAGAGGUAAGAGCAUUUUCACAGUGAGCGAUCCUCGCCAAAGCAAUGUGCUUGAAGAGGCACAUUGAAUGCCCUGUCCCUGGAGAGGAGCUAACCGUUUAGCAGCAGUGUUUGCUAGAGGGAAUACAAGCGUUUAAAGAGCUGGGUGGUAUAAGUGGUUUUUAUCCGUGGUGUUUUCUUGUUUCGUUUGGUUUUGGUUUUGAUGGUGCUCUUACUUUAAGCCAGAGAGACCACGUACACAAUCAUUGCUUAAGAUUUCAGCUUUUGGGGUUUUGUGGCCCAACCUAGAAAAUACUCAAAGAUGAGAAAAAGCAAAAGUUUUCGCAACAGCUUGGGACUAUUCUUGCUCUAUUGUUUGAUCCGCAUUGCAAAAUGUGUGUGGGCUCUGGGUUCAAAUCUAAAACUAAUGACUUUUGGCAAUUUAUUUAACCUCCUGAGCCCAGUUCUUUUAUCUGAAAAUGAGAAUAAUAAUGACCACUUUGGGAGGGGACAAUUUAGGGAAUUAGAUAAUAUCAGGUAUUCUCAACAUUCCCAUUCAUAAGAGAGAGGUGGCUUGGUAGGGUAAAUAUUUUGCAUCUAUAUUCCAGUCAUGUUCUUUGCUCCUAUCAUCAUUGUGGGCAAGUAAAUGCUAAGUGACAGCCUUCCAUCUAUAGAUAAUAUUAACAAUAGUUGGGUUUUCAAGAUUAAUUAAGACAAUAGAGGUACAAUUUUUAUUUUUAUUUUUUAGAAUUAAAGGUAAAACUCACUCUUGUAUGAUUGUUUUGAGUCCGUGUGAUUUAUAUCUCUUAUUAGCUUUUACUUCCCUGUGACUAUUGUCACAGUGCCUAGGCACAUUGAUGGUCCUGAAUAGAAUAAAAAUUGCUGAAUGAGUAAUAAAGCACAAUGCCAGGUGAAACAUAGAGCCUCAGAAAAUAGUCCUUGCUCCUAACAGUUCAUAUAACACAGGAAUUUUAUAGACAUUUCAGAAACCUAACCAUUAUUGAAUUAUUAGAAAGUAAUAGCUAUUGGUGCUGGGUAUUGCAUGCCUGUAAUCCCAGAGGCUGGGGAGGCUGAGGCAGGAGGAUCACAAGUUCCAGGCCAGCUUCUGCAUUUUAGUGAGGCCCUUCUCAAAAUAAAAGGGUUGGAGCUGUGACUUAGAGGUAAAGUUCAGUCUCCAGAAGCAGGAGUAAGGGUGUGGGGGGUGAUAUUAGCUAUUGGUUAGUUUCAGCUUUCUUUGAGUAUAUUGAUUUAGCAGCUUCUUUUUUAAAUUGUUGGGCAUUUAGUGUUCUCUGGGGAGUGUCCCUAAAAAAUGCCAGAGAAACAUAUUAAUCUCAUUUAGCCUUGAUCCAAAAUUUAAACUAGAGUAAACCUUAAAACAUUGGUCUUCAAAGAAUUACUGAAAUUGAAGAUUCUUUUGCUGUGUUCAAAUCUGUGUAGUAGCCAUCUGUUAUAUAAACAUUCUGCCAGGUAUGAUGGUGCACCCUGUAAUUGCAGCAGCUCAGGAGGCUAAGGCAGGAGGAUCGAAAAUUUGAGGCCAGCCUUUGAGACCCUGUCUCAAAAUUAAAAAAUGAAGAGGGCUGGGAUGUGCCCUUGGGUUCAAUCCCUGGUACUAAAAACAAAACAAAACAAAACAAAAUGAUGUGAUUGGUACUAACUGUGGCUACUUAAAAACUCAGCUUUAAUGCUAAAUACGUCUGAAUCACAUAGUGUGUAACCUUCAUUAGAACAUUCUAGGUUCUCAUAAGCAAGAAUGAAAAUAUAAAGCUAUAUAGUUCAAAUAGUAAAACUUUGUGGACUUUGGAUUUUUUGUUGUUGUUGUUUGUUUGUUUUUUGUUUUUUUUUCGGUUCUAGGGAAUGAAUCCAGGGGCACUUUACCACAGAGCUAUAUUCCCAUUCCUUUUUAAAUUUUUUAAAAAUUUGAAACAGGGUCUUGUUAAGUUCCUGAGGGUCUAGCUAAGUUGCUGAGACUGGCCUUAAACUGCUUCUGCCUCCUGAGUUGCUGGGAUUACAGGUGUGUGCUACCAGCCCUGGCAAAAUAGUAAAACUUUCCGAGUUAUAAAUGUGUGUGAAGAGUUAUAAAUGUUUUGUGUAUGAUCUAUAAUAUGUAUGUAUGCACAGUGUUGUGUAAUUGGAAUGAUUUUUAUCAUAAUCCAUUUUUCCCUGAAUAUGCCAGUUGAUUUUUUUCCCACAACUAUAAAACAGUGACUAUUUCUCAUUUGGCAAGGUGUAAUGCACCAGUACUGCAAAAACAGAGAGAGACAGGUGCAUAAUGAAGGGAGGGGUUCAGUGGAAAAGAAAUAAGCAGCUGGUGAGUAGAAUGUGAAAGGGACCUUCAGAAUCCUAAGAUGAAUGGCAAUAUUUAGGACAUGUUGAUCCAGUGAAGAAAAUGCUAAAUAUGUUGUGAUUCUACUUCUGUACUGGUGAUAUUUGGGUCAAGAUGGAUAAGAAGAAAUGAAGUUUUUCAUGUUUUAGUUAACUCAUUCCUAGAAUUUGGGUGAUCAUACGUUUUUCUUUUUUUGUUACCUGGGAUUAAACCCAGGGGCAUUUAAGCACUGAGCACCCCAGCCCUUUUAAAUUUUUUUAUUUUGAGACAGGGUCUCACUAAAUUGCUUAGGGCCUUGCUAAAUUAUUGAGGCUGGCUUUGAACUUUUCAUUCUCCUGCCUCAGCCUCCUGAACCACUGGGAUUACAGGUGUGCACCUCUCUACCCAGUAUGUUUGUAACUAUGUUUUUAACUUAAAUGUGUUAUGAAUUAUAACUGUAUUUUAUUUUUUUUAAAUAAUUUUUUUAGUUGUGGGUGGACACGAUAUCUUUAUUUAUUCAUUCAUUUAUUUAUUUUUAUGUGGUGCUAAGGAUCGAACCCAGUGUCUCACACAUUCGAGGUAAACGCUCAACCCCUGAGCUACAACCCCAGCCCCUAUAACUGUAUUUUAUGUUGUCAACAAUGCUAACAUAUGAUAAGACUUUGUUGAAAUACAGAAAAUAUAAGUGAUCACACAUGAUAUACUUAUGUAGGAAUUUUAAAAAGAUGAGAAGGAAGAGAAUGCCACAUAUGAAUGCUGGACAUUUUAAGUGACUUUUUCACAUUUUCCUCAUAUCAAAUCUGUAAGGUCAAUAUUACUUAUUCUACUUUACAGAAGAAACAGAUGUUCAACUAGGUGUGGUGGCACACUCCUAUAAUCCCAGUGAUUAGGAGGCUAGGGCAGGAAAAUUCAGGUUUGAAAGCAGACUGGGCCACUUAGUGAGACCCUAUCUAAAAAUAAAAAAUAAAAUGAACUGUUGAGACCCUGAGUUGAUUUUUAAAUUUAUAGCUCAAUGCUGAAGUGCCCUUGGGUUCAGUUCCCCUCCAACCUCCCCCAAAACUUGCCAAAAAAAUAAAAAAGAAAGAAAAGAAAAAGGAAAAAUGCAUGCUCAUGAAACAGAGACCAAGAAUCAGAAAAUGAAUUCAGGUCCUGAACACAAAACCAUUUGCAACUUCCUAAUGACAUUUGAAGAAACAAUAUAAGUUUCUGAGUAUAUUGAUUUAGUGGUUUGUUUUGUUUUUUUUUUUUUUUUUUGGUACUGAGGAUUGAUCUCAGGGACACUUUACUACUGAGAUACACCCCCAGUCCUUUUUAUUUUUUUUAUUUUGGGUCAGAGUGUCUCUAAAUUGCUGAGGCUGACCUUGAAUUUGAAGUAUUCUUAUCUCAGCUACCCAAGUUGCUGGGAUUAUAGGCAUUGGCACUGCACCCAGCUAUGUGUGUUGGUUUAAUUUUUAAAAUUUUUGUCUUUUGCCAGGUUUUGUGAUGCAUACCUAUAAUCCUAGCUACAUGGGGCUAAGGCAGUAGGAUUGUAGAUUCAAGACCAGCCUGGGAAAAGUUAGUGAGACCGUGUCUCAAAGUAAAAUAAAAGGAAUGGGGUUGUAGCUCAGUGGUAGAGUGCUUGUCUAGCAUUUGUGAGGCCCUGGGUUUUAUUCUCAGCACCACAUAUAAAAAAUAAAUAAAUAAAUAAAUAAAACGAAGGUUUAUCAACAACAACAACAACAACAACAUAAUAUUACAUUUAAAAUAAAAUGAAAGACUUGGUAUGUAGCCCUAAGGUUCACUGCCCAGAAAACAAAAAACAAAAAGAAAAAAGAAUAAAAAGGGCUGGGGAUGUAGCUCUGUGGUAGAGUACCCCUACAUUCAAUACCUAGUUAUUUAAAAAAAAAUAUAUGUGUGUGUGUGUGUGUUUGUGUGUGUGUGUCUUUGUCUUUUGCACCACCUUUUUAUUUGAAAAGUAUUUUGGAAAGAAGUAGUUCUUUCCAAAGAAAGAACUUGCCUGGUAGUACAUAUAUAAAAAUGCUGCAUGUAUACAUCUACAUAUGUGUUAGCUUUCUGGAAAUAGAAAAAAAAAAAUCACUUUUCUUAUAUCUUGAAAUUACUGAAUAUGUUUCUUAUGUUUGAACUUUUGUUGUCCUAUUUUCAGUUAUUUACAUGGACUUGUCUCUUUUCUAGGAGGAUGCCCAGGAUAUGGAUGCUUAUACCCUGGCCAAGGCCUACUUUGAUGUUAAAGAAUAUGACCGGGCAGCACAUUUCCUACAUGGCUGUAAUAGCAAGAAAGCCUAUUUCCUAUAUAUGUACUCCAGAUAUUUGGUGAGGGCAAUUUUAAGGUGUUACUUUGCUUUCAGUGAAGCAUUCAUAUUUAGAAUUAAAUAGAAAAAUCCCAGCCUGAGUUGAUUUUAACAGUGGGGGAUGGUGGUGCAUGCCUAUAAUCUUAGUGACUUGAGAGGCUUAGUCAGGAAGAUACAAGUUUGAGGCCAGCUUUGGCAACUUUGUGAGACCUUGUCUCAAAAUUAAAGGGCUGGAGAUGUAGCUCAGUGCUUACGUAAAGUGCCUCUGGGUUUAAUUCCCAGUACCAAUAAAUAAACUAUUCAGUUUUCACUUUUAUUUGUAGUACAUUUGUUGUUUUGUUGCAUGGCUGUUAAAUUGUAAAUGUAAAGGGCAAUACAAGUAUUUAAUUCUGGAAUAUUAUGAAUGUAUUUUCCUACUUUUUUUUUUUUUUUUUUUAGUUAUUUUAUGUGUGAACAGAUCUUUUAAAAUAUUUUAUAAGGCUGGGGGUAGCUCAGUGGUAGAGUGCUUGCUUAUAAUGUAUUUAUUCAUUUAUUUAUUUAUUUUUAUGUGGUGCUGAGGAUUGGGUUUGAUCCCCAACAUUGCAAAAAAAAAAUUAUAUACAUUUACAAGUGUAAGCAUUUAUAAUGUAAUGUAAUCCUUACAUUAUAGGUGUAAGGAUUGAAUUUAGGGAUGCUUAACCACUGAGCUACAUCCCCUGCUCUUUAAGAAAAAAAAAUUUUUUUUUUAAGUAUUUAUUUUUUAGUUGUAGUUAGACACAAUACCUUUAUUUCACUUAUUUGUUUUUAUGUGGUGCUGAUAAUUGAACCCAGGGUCUCACAUGUGUGAGGCGAGCACUCUACAGGAUCUUGAUAAGUUGUCCAGACUGGCCUCCAAUUGCAAUCCUCCUGCCUUAGCCUCCCAAGUAGCUGGGUUUAUAAGCUUGUAAUACUAAGCCUGGCUGGAUUCCUAUAUUUUUAAUUAUUUAUAAUUAUUUACUGUACUUACUUAACUACUUUGGUACUCAAAUUAUCCCACAUUUAGGCAGUGGGAGCCCCCAAAUGAUUGUUUGAAAUUAAUGACCAAAAGCAGAUGCCAUUUUUGUUGGACUUGAACUCUUGGGUAGUUUUAAAACAUGUUUCAGAAUAAAUUGAAAAAAAACCUACCUACUUGUUGAAUUUCUUUUACAGUCUGGAGAGAAAAAGAAGGAUGAUGAAACUGUUGAUAGCCUAGGUAUGAAUUUUUUUUCUCUUAUCUCUUGGAUUAAAAAGUAGCUUUGUAAAUUUAAGUGCCUGUUGGAGCCAGUCAGGUAAUAUAACUGGACUGAGAUGCAUUGUUGCAAAUUUCAGAGCACAUGGCUUAUCUCAUGUACCCUGUUGGCACCCAGCUUCAGCUGAGGGCUGCCUUGUGGCACUCUGGGCCUGAUGUUAUUAGGGCCUUCUUCCUUUGGCCCUUCUCUGUUUCCUGAAGCUAAAAACUCAGAUUUUUAAUUGAGGCUUCUGAUUUUUAGACAAUGAUAACUAAUUCAAAUUUAAAAACCCAACAACUAUUUGGGUGUAGGACUGCAGACCCAUUAUUAGUUGCAAUUUCUAGAAUAAAGUAAAUGGAUCGUAUAAGAUAUCAAUGGACACUUAUGAGUAUUUGCUGGAGGUUUCAAGUAUAACCUUCAGUUGAAACUAAAGGGAAUAUAUACAUCUAUGAAAAUGAAAGCCAGCAUCCUUCUCUUAGAUCAGAGACUUUGUUUCUUUCCUAGGCCCCCUGGAGAAAGGACAAGUGAAAAAUGAGGCUCUUAGAGAAUUGAGGGUAGAGCUCAGCAAAAAGCAUCAAGCUCGGGAACUUGAUGGAUUUGGCCUUUAUCUGUAAGUGGUUUUUAUAGUAAUUUGG
rnacentral:lncRNA from 1 species